GAUGAAGAACGUAGCGAAAUGCGAUAAGUAAUGUGAAUUGCAGAAUUCAGUGAAUCAUCGAAUCUUUGAACGCACAUUGCGCCCCUUGGUAUUCCGAGGGGCAUGCCUGUUCGAGCGUCAUUAUAACCCCUCAAGCUCAGCUUGGUGUUGGGGCCUGCUGCACUGGCAGCCCUUAAAAUCAGUGGCGGCGCCAUCUGGCUCUAAGCGUAGUAAUUCUUCUCGCUAUGGAGUCCUGGUGGAUGCUUGCCAUCAACCCCCAAUUUAUCUAUGGUUGACCUCGGAUCAGGUAGGGAUACCCGCUGAACUUAAGCAUAUCAAUAGCGGAGGA
rnacentral:misc_RNA from 1 species